rnacentral:lncRNA from 1 species
UUAGAGGUGGGGCAUCCUCAGACUGUGGCUGGGAUGAGCACCUAGAGAAGUGAUUGAUUGAUUGAUUGAUAGUGGAGAAUCCCCUUGUGGGGAGGGUUUGUGAUCUGCCCUCGAGGUCCCAUACUUCAGCAGAGCCAGGUCCUGCUUCUUUUCAUACACUACAGUGUCUGGGUCAUCAGCAUCUGUGUGUCUGUCUACCCCACAAGGAGUGCUAUUCCUGAUCUCCUUAGCUGUUUGUUAGUGUAGGACUGGCUGGUGUGUGUAAAUGGAGGCCUCAAACCAGAGAGCCCUGCUUUCUGGGAUGGUAACGUGGCUGUUGGAGGACACAGCUCCACAGGUAGCCCAGGAGAAAUCUGAGCCGGAAGGAAGGUGCUGUGGUAGUCUGCCUUAUACCACCAUCAUAAAGAAGAGGAGGCUCAGGUCCAGAAAGGAUGUGUAAGUAAGUGGGAAGAGCUCAACUCACUGCUUCUAACUUUGCGCUGCCAGACAGAAGGGGCUCCAGAUACUUGUUCUAAGCUCUGGUUUCCCCUCAAGGCCAAAAGCUCUUGAAUGUGCAUGGAUUGUGCCCACCCUCUUACUGGGGAAUCAGCAAACCACAAGCUAUCAGGAAGUAGCCCACUGCACCAUAGAGCAGUUAACGUGGGGUGGGGAUGAGAUCUUUUUCCCUGACCCAUGCCCCUCUCAUUCUGUGGCCCAGAGAAUGAGAUCACUCAGAUGGCAUCACUAUUGCCCCCAUCCCCCAGCCUUCAUCACCCUGGUUGAUCACGAGGGGUCCAAAGAAUAGACCACUACCUCUGGCUUCCUGAGAGGUUGCCUUUACUUAUAUGCACAGUCACUCCUUUAGCAGAAAAUAUUAUGGAGGUGUUAGGAUGAGAUAAACCUGACAGCAACCAGUUCCAAGACCACACACAGCAGUUUUCCCCUUGCCUAGCCCCUUGAGAUGCAUUCUUGAUAGCGAGAGCACAAUGGUUCCCCUGAGAGCCUCCGUGGCCCUUCUGUGUGCCUUUAUCAACCACUCCCCACCAUCACCACCCUUAGGCAGAGAGAGGAAGAAGCAGGGGAGAUGUGGCUAAUUCUUCUUUGGAAACACAGAAGGCUAUGUCAGAUGCAAUGGAAUAUAUUGUGACAUAGGAUUAUUUGGAGUAUUCAGCCAUGGGGAUCUCUUAGAGGUCUCUUAUUUAAGGAUAGGGGACCUCUAUGGAGGGCAUGGUUGGCUUAUCCACCUUCAGGGUGGGCAAUGUAGUUUGAAAGGUAGCCUCACUUGUAGCCUGCCUGGUGGGUGCUUGGGUGAGUUCAAAGACCACGGUGGGCAUCGGUGGUUGAAUCUCAUGCUUGCCAGGCUUCAAAGGUGUGACAGCAUUCUUGAUAGGUAGUAGUUUCUUGGAUGGUGCUGCAAAAUUGAAAUGGCCUUGGUGUUCCUUUCCACUCUUGGGUAGAGCCGGGUAGAGGGCUGCUAGAGUCCAAGGACCUUCCACAACUCGGACAGGAGGUUUCAUGGCUAUGUGCAAAUCUAUCUAUCUAUCUAUCUUCCUCAUUCUUACUUCCACUCUGAGUAUCUGUGGGAUGGAAAAGACACAGAUUCCUCAAAUGUCACUUCUCCACUCUCUGUCAGUCAUGUGUGAAAUUCAAGUUAUCUCUUAAAUGUUAGCCACUCCCUUACCCUUUCAGGUUCUUUCCUCCAAGCUCUCCCCUCUACCUCAGGCUUUGUGCAAACUUUAUUAUGGCCCUCCAAUUCAGCCUGGGGCUGGGGCUUAAGAGUC